AAAUUUUAACAACGAAAAAGAAUUAUUAUUACAAUCUUAUUCGUGAUACCCAAUUUUAGGCCCGGGCCCGCCUAAACAGAAAACAAAACAAAUUUUUUAAAAAAAAUUUCCAUAUUACAGAUCAAAAUGAGGCCCAAAUAAUUAAAACCCACUAAGCCCAAAUUACAAACUAAAACCCAAAUUUAGCCCAUAACAAAAACCAAAAUGGCAGAAACCCUAGGCAGCUUCCCCCCAUGCCGCAGCAACGUUCCAUCGUCCCACGUUGCCUCACCCACGUUCAGCAGCCCCGCACAACGCCUGUUUCCACGUACUUGCAACAAGUCAAACCACGAAUAGCAUUAGAGUAGCAGGUAUAUGGGAAAAGAGGUUUUUUUUGUAAAGAUUCGGCUAUAAAAGCCGAUUAAUAAAUCUGUAAAAGGGGUUAGUAAAAAUUGUCUUCAAAAGAGAUUUAAAGAAAGAAGAAAAUAUCAGAAAAAGCAAAUUUUGAAGGUGAUCAUUUUUUUCCGGUUUUUUUCUUUUUAUUGUUUUCUUGUUUCAUUUUUUUUUGGUUCUUUGCUUUUAAAAAAAUUAAACAAGGAGGAGUAGAAGGGAGACUUACCAGCGGGGCGCCGUCGGAGUACCCUCACGUCGUUGUAGCCGGUUGGAAAUAGGACUGGAACGACAGAGGAAAGGGGAGAACUGCGGCGCAUUUAUGGAGUGGCAG
rnacentral:lncRNA from 1 species